GAUCCUGGCUCAGGAUGAACGCUAGCUACAGGCUUAACACAUGCAAGUCGAGGGGAAACGACAUCGAAAGCUUGCUUUUGAUGGGCGUCGACCGGCGCACGGGUGAGUAACGCGUAUCCAACCUGCCCAUCACUUGGGGAUAACCUUGCGAAAGUAAGACUAAUACCCGAUGAUAUCCCUAGAAGACAUCUGAAAGGGAUUAAAGAUUUAUCGGUGAUGGAUGGGGAUGCGUCUGAUUAGCUUGUUGGCGGGGUAACGGCCCACCAAGGCAACGAUCAGUAGGGGUUCUGAGAGGAAGGUCCCCCACAUUGGAACUGAGACACGGUCCAAACUCCUACGGGAGGCAGCAGUGAGGAAUAUUGGUCAAUGGGCGAGAGCCUGAACCAGCCAAGUAGCGUGCAGGAUGACGGCCCUAUGGGUUGUAAACUGCUUUUAUAAGGGAAUAAAGUGAGUCUCGUGAGACUUUUUGCAUGUACCUUAUGAAUAAGGACCGGCUAAUUCCGUG
rnacentral:rRNA from 1 species